CAUAUGACAUAAUUAUUAUUAGGAUAAUGAUACUUGCACGUCAAGUGAUAUUUACCCCUCACAUGGAGGGGGAUCUACUUCAGAUAUCCUCAUGUAUGAGGAGGGUGGACAUCAGGAUAGACACUCCGAUGUACAUGUAGCACAAUUCUAUAUAGUUUAAAGAUUUUAAUGUCACAAUUCUCACGUUAAUCCCUUAUUCACUAGAAAAAGGGAAAAUGAUGAGCAAUUGUGAAAAGGCAAUGGCAGUUGGUAUGGUCC
rnacentral:lncRNA from 1 species